AUUGAACGCUGGCGGCAGGCCUAACACAUGCAAGUCGAGCGGAUGAAGGGAGCUUGCUCCUGGAUUCAGCGGCGGACGGGUGAGUAAUGCCUAGGAAUCUGCCUGGUAGUGGGGGAUAACGUCCGGAAACGGGCGCUAAUACCGCAUACGUCCUGAGGGAGAAAGUGGGGGAUCUUCGGACCUCACGCUAUCAGAUGAGCCUAGGUCGGAUUAGCUAGUUGGUGGGGUAAAGGCCUACCAAGGCGACGAUCCGUAACUGGUCUGAGAGGAUGAUCAGUCACACUGGAACUGAGACACGGUCCAGACUCCUACGGGAGGCAGCAGUGGGGAAUAUUGGACAAUGGGCGAAAGCCUGAUCCAGCAAUGCCGCGUGUGUGAAGAAGGUCUUCGGAUUGUAAAGCACUUUAAGUUGGGAGGAAGGGCAGUAAGUUAAUACCUUGCUGUGUUGACGUUACCAACAGAAUAAGCACCGGCUAACUACGUG
rnacentral:rRNA from 1 species